rnacentral:snRNA from 1 species
GUACUUGCUUCAGCAGCACACAUACACUACUAAAACUGGAAUGAUACACAGAAGUUGGGAUGACCCCUGCACAAGAAUGACACACAAAUUCAUGAAGCGUCUGUAUAAUAGUAUU